GAUGAAGAACGUAGCGAAAUGCGAUAAGUAAUGUGAAUUGCAGAAUUCAGUGAAUCAUCGAAUCUUUGAACCCACAUUGCGCCCGCCAGCACUCUGGCGGGCAUGCCUGUUCGAGCGUCAUUUCAACCAUCAAGCCCCCAGGGGCUUGUGCUGGGGCCCUGCGGCUGCCCGCAGGCCCUGAAAACCAGUGGCGGGCUCGCUAGUCACACCGAGCGCAGUAGCACAUCUCGCUCAGGGCGUGCGGCGGGCUCCUGCCGUGAAACCCCCCACUGUAACCCCAAAGGUUGACCUCGGAUCAGGUAGGAAUACCCGCUGAACUUAAGCAUAUCAAUAAGCGGAGGA
rnacentral:misc_RNA from 1 species